rnacentral:rRNA from 1 species
GACGGAGGAUGCAAGCGUUAUCCGGAAUGAUUGGGCGUAAAGCGUCCGCAGGUGGCAGUUCAAGUCUGCUGUCAAAGACCGGGGCUUAACUUCGGAAAGGCAGUGGAAACUGAACAGCUAGAGUAUGGUAGGGGCAGAGGGAAUUCCUGGUGUAGCGGUGAAAUGCGUAGAGAUCAGGAAGAACAUCGGUGGCGACGGCGCUCUGCUGGACCAUAACUGACACUCAGGGACGAAAGCUAGGGGAGCGAAUGGG